AGCUGGAAAUGCCAUGCUGCCUUUGUUCGACCACGCGGUUAUGGUGGUCGAGGCUUGUGACUGCAAAACUGCCUGGAAAAGCUGCGGCUGCUGGUCUUGCGCCGGGUGCUGCCGAGCGGGUGGGGGGAGGUCGCUGUACGCACACCUGCUGGAUUUUUUUCAGCACAUUCCUCCCCCCUGAGUGUCUGUGGCAGCCACGCUGCAUCCGGGACCGUGGAAAAAGGUUUAGUGUCUCUAGAGGGAAUAUGCUGGCACUGCUCCUACCUGUAGUCGUCAGGUGGGUUGAGAAGUGUUCAACAGGUUGCUGUCCCGAAGGGUUGAGUCGUGGUGAUGCAGCUAACUCUGCUAACACUUCGAACUGCUUAGCACCGGGCCGUCGUCGAUGCAGAAAUCGCCCCUUUCUGCGCUUGAUAACUGCUCAAAUCUUCACAGAAGACUUCAGAUCUCACAGCGCCGCCUGGUGACGGGCACUGGACAUUACAAGUUCUACUCCUCCAGUGAUCCAACAGCGCCACCUGGUGACUACAAUAGGACACUACAAGUUCUGCACCUUCAGUAACCCAACAGUGCCACCUGGUGAACGGUACAGGACAUUACAAAUUUUGCACCUCCAGUGACCCGACGGCGCCCCCUGCUGACUGUGGCUGGAACUGCACCAAAGGGUGCAAAAAAUUGAACUAUUUAAAUUUUCCUUUUGCCGGUUCAUCGGUUUUGUUCUUGAAGGGGAUUAUCGGUGGGUAUAGGAGUAUUGCUUGGUCGUUUUACUUAGUUUUUUCAUGUUCCUGUUAAUAUGAUACCUUGAAGUUUUGAUGUUUUAAUUUUUUUUAUUUUUGUAGACCUUAGAAGUAGUUAUGUAGUAAAU